rnacentral:misc_RNA from 1 species
GUAUUAAUUGCGUGUUAUCGCAAGAGACAUUCUACACUGUAUCGAGUUUGUGUGAAAACGCAAGCCCCCCUCCCGGAUCGGUUUGAUCCCAAAGGGUUGCCCACGCGGUGGUGCACAAAAGGGUGAGAUGGAUUUUUAUGUGAGAGGACACACUCUGGCGUGCACGACUCUUGUGGUAAAAGUCAGCGACAGCCCUCGCAUGCCUCACACAUUUUGUACGAUAAUGAUCCUUCCGCAGGUUCACCUACGGAAA